GAGGAAUAUUGGUCAAUGGACGCGAGUCUGAACCAGCCAAGUAGCGUGAAGGAUGACUGCCCUAUGGGUUGUAAACUUCUUUUAUAUGGGAAUAAAGUUGUCCACGUGUGGAUUUUUGUAUGUACCAUAUGAAUAAGGAUCGGCUAACUCCGUGCCAGCAGCCGCGGUAAUACGGAGGAUCCGAGCGUUAUCCGGAUUUAUUGGGUUUAAAGGGAGCGUAGGCGGAUUGUUAAGUCAGUUGUGAAAGUUUGCGGCUCAACCGUAAAAUUGCAGUUGAUACUGGCAGUCUUGAGUGCAGUAGAGGUGGGCGGAAUUCGUGGUGUAGCGGUGAAAUGCUUAGAUAUCACGAAGAACUCCGAUUGCGAAGGCAGCUCACUGGAGUGUAACUGACGCUGAUGCUCGAAAGUGUGGGUAUCAAAC
rnacentral:rRNA from 1 species